GACGAACGCUGGCGGCGUGCUUAACACAUGCAAGUCGAGCGAUGAAGUUUCUUCGGAAAUGGAUUAGCGGCGAACGGGUGAGGAACACGUGAAGAAUCUGCCCUCCACUUUGGGAUAACACCGGGAAACCGGUGCUAAUACCGAAUAUUGAAACAUAAGUGGCAUCACUGAGUUUUGAAAGAAUUUCGGUGGAGGAUGACUUCGCGGCCUAUCAGCUAGUUGGUGAGGUAAUGGCUCACCAAGGCAACGACGGGUAGCCGGCCUGAGAGGGCGACCGGCCACACUGGGACUGAGACACGGCCCAGACUCCUACGGGAGGCAGCAGUGGGGAAUAUUGGGCAAUGGAGGAAACUCUGACCCAGCGACGCCGCGUGCGGGAUGAAGGCCUUCGGGUUGUAAACCGCUUUCAGUAGGGAAGAAGCGAAAGUGACGGUACCUACAAAAGAAGCACCGGCUAACUAUGUGCCAGCAGCCGCGGUAAUACAUAGGGUGCAAGCGUUGUCCGGAAUUAUUGGGCGUAAAGAGCUCGUAGGUCGUUUGUUACGUCGGAUGUGAAAACCUGAGGCUCAACCUCAGGCCUGCAUUCGAUACGGGCAAACUAGAGUUUGGUAGGGGAGACUGGAAUUCCUGGUGUAGCGGUGGAAUGCGCAGAUAUCAGGAGGAACACCAAUGGCGAAGGCAGG
rnacentral:rRNA from 1 species